UCUUUAUUAUCAUGUUGUCAACAUAGACCUCCAUAUUUUGAUCAAUUGUUGCUUAAAAAUUUUAUUGACGAGAUGUUGGAAUGUAAUACCUGCAUUUUUAAGACCAAAGGGGCAUCAUUUUGUAAUAAUACAAACCUCUUUCAGUGAUAAAGGUAGUAUUUUCUUCAUUUUUUGGAGCUAUUUGGAUUUGAUUAUAGUCGAAGAAAUCAUCCAUAAAGCUGAGAAGUUUGUGACCAGAGGC
rnacentral:lncRNA from 1 species